AACGUAGGACGCGAGCGUUAUCCGGAGUUACUGGGCGUAAAGCGCGGGCAGGCGGUCUGCCAAGUCUGAUGUGAAAUCUCCGGGCUUAACCGGGAGAGGCCAUUGGAAACUGACAGGCUGGAGGGCAGUAGAGGUAGGCGGAAUUCCCGGUGUAGCAGUGAAAUGCGUAGAGAUCGGGAGGAACACCAGUGGCGAAGGCGGCCUUCUGGACCAAUACUGACGCUCAUGCACGAAAGCGUGGGGAGCAAACAGG
rnacentral:rRNA from 1 species